GCGUAUCAAUAAGCGGAGGAAAAGAAACUAACAAGGAUUCCCCUAGUAACGGCGAGUGAAGAGGGAAGAGCCCAAGAUUGAAAGCUGGCGUCUUCGGCGUCCGCAUUGUAAUCUCAAGAAGUGUUUUCCGCUUCGGACCAAGCCUAAGUCCCUUGGAAAAGGGCAUCAUAGAGGGUGAUAAUCCCGUACAUGGCUUGGAGCGCCCGAAGCUUUGUGAUACGCUUUCUAAGAGUCGAGUUGUUUGGGAAUGCAGCUCAAAAUGGGUGGUAAAUGCCAUCUAAGGCUAAAUAUUGGGGAGAGACCGAUAGCGAACAAGUACAGUGAUGGAAAGAUGAAAAGAACUUUGAAAAGAGAGUUAAACAGUACGUGAAAUUGCCAAAAGGGAAGGGUAGGAGGUCAGAGAUGCGGCCUGGGAUUCAGCCUUGCUUUUGCUUGGUGUUUUUCCCAGAUUGCAGGCCAACGUCGGUUUUGGGCACUGGAGAAGGGUAGGAGGAACGUGGCACCUCUCGGGGUGUGUUAUAGCCUCCUACUGGAUACAGCGACCGAGACCGAGGACAGCAGCGUACUCGCAAGAGCGGGCCUUCGGGCACCUUUACGCUUAGGGCGUUGGCAUAAUGGCCCUCUACCACCCGUCUUGAAACACGGACC
rnacentral:rRNA from 6 species